rnacentral:rRNA from 1 species
AUUGAACGCUGGCGGCAUGCUUUACACAUGCAAGUCGAACGGUAACAGGCCUUCGGGCGCUGACGAGUGGCGAACGGGUGAGUAAUGCAUCGGAACGUGCCCAGUCGUGGGGGAUAACGCAGCGAAAGCUGUGCUAAUACCGCAUACGAUCUAUGGAUGAAAGCGGGGGACCGUAAGGCCUCGCGCGAUUGGAGCGGCCGAUGUCAGAUUAGGUAGUUGGUGGGGUAAAGGCUCACCGAGCCAACGAUCUGUAGCUGGUCUGAGAGGACGACCAGCCACACUGGAACUGAGACACGGUCCAGACUCCUACGGGAGGCAGCAGUGGGGAAUUUUGGACAAUGGGCGCAAGCCUGAUCCAGCAAUGCCGCGUGCAGGAAGAAGGCCUUCGGGUUGUAAACUGCUUUUGUACGGAACGAAACGGCGAGCUCUAAUACAGUUUGCUGAUGACGGUACCGUAAGAAUAAGCACCGGCUAACUACGUGCCAGCCGCCGCAGUAAGAC